rnacentral:lncRNA from 1 species
UUGCUAUCACAAUUUAGAGAUUUUGGUGUCUCAUUGGUACCUCCUCCUUUAUCCGAUGCCUCCUGACUGACAUUGUUUCGUCCAAACCUCAAAAGCCAUUGAAAUCUACCUGAGAGAUGUCUUCUUUCCCUCAUGGCUGAGACCAGGUUCCCUGAAGAUUCAUUCUCAUGCGGCGAAUUUAAAGGGACACCUUCAGGAGGAGGAGAGGAAACUGGCAGAGGUGAAUCUUCAGGGUUACUUUGGUGGUGAUCAUCAUUUUCAUCUGACGAUAAAUUCGAUGCAAUGCUACUUUUUUCUGUGUCAUUUUCAUGGUCAUUAGUACCACUUCCAGAACUUAAAGGGUCAG